GACGAACGCUGGCGGCGUGCUUAAUACAUGCAAGUCGAACGGAAAGGCCCUGCUUUUGUGGGGUGCUCGAGUGGCGAACGGGUGAGUAACACGUGAGUAACCUGCCCUUGACUUUGGGAUAACUUCAGGAAACUGGGGCUAAUACCGGAUAGGAGCUCCUGCUGCAUGGUGGGGGUUGGAAAGUUUCGGCGGUUGGGGAUGGACUCGCGGCUUAUCAGCUUGUUGGUGGGGUAGUGGCUUACCAAGGCUUUGACGGGUAGCCGGCCUGAGAGGGUGACCGGCCACAUUGGGACUGAGAUACGGCCCAGACUCCUACGGGAGGCAGCAGUGGGGAAUAUUGCACAAUGGGCGGAAGCCUGAUGCAGCAACGCCGCGUGUGGGAUGACGGCCUUCGGGUUGUAAACCGCUUUCGCCUGUGACGAAGCGUGAGUGACGGUAAUGGGUAAAGAAGCACCGGCUAACUACGUG
rnacentral:rRNA from 1 species